ACCAUAUCACACUGAAGCAUUAGUUCCCGUACGAUCAUCGAAGUUAAGCAACGUCGAGUCUGGUCAGUACCAAAAUGUGCGACCGGUUGCGAAUAUCAGAUGUUGUAAG